rnacentral:misc_RNA from 1 species
AAGUCGUAACAAGGUUUCCGUAGGUGAACCUGCGGAAGGAUCAUUAUCGAUUUUUGAAACAAAACAUAAUAAUGAAAUAUCAUUAUUAUACUAUGCGCUGUAUAGUGCAUAUUGAACGCGUAUAGUUAUGCGCAAAAAUUUAUGUGGAACGCAUUAUUUUUUAUUGUUAAAUAAAAAAUGGAAGCACUUUGAUAAUAUAUAAAAAAUGGGUACUUAUUUUCAAAUAAGUUAAACGACCAAACCGUCGAGAUACAUUCGCCCAAAUUGUAUGAAAUCAUUGUGUUUAAAAAUACCCCUUUGUCGUAUGCAAAUGCGAUUUAUGUAUAUUUAAAUGAAAUUAUUAUUAACCCUAAGCGGGGGAUCACUUGGCUUGUGG